rnacentral:rRNA from 1 species
CCUACGGGAGGCAGCAGUGGGGAAUUUUGGACAAUGGGCGCAAGCCUGAUCCAGCAAUGCCGCGUGAGUGAAGAAGGCCUUCGGGUUGUAAAGCUCUUUUGUCAGGGAAGAAACGGUGGAGGCUAAUAUCCUUUGCUAAUGACGGUACCUGAAGAAUAAGCACCGGCUAACUACGUGCCAGCAGCCGCGGUAAUACGUAGGGUGCAAGCGUUAAUCGGAAUUACUGGGCGUAAAGCGUGCGCAGGCGGUUUUGUAAGUUUGUCGUGAAAUCCCCGGGCUCAACCUGGGAAUGGCGAUGAAGACUGCAAGGCUAGAAUCUGGCAGAGGGGGGUAGAAUUCCACGUGUAGCAGUGAAAUGCGUAGAGAUGUGGAGGAACACCGAUGGCGAAGGCAGCCCCCUGGGUCAAGAUUGACGCUCAUGCACGAAAGCGUGGGGAGCAAACAGGAUUAGAUACCCUGGUAGUCCACGCCCUUAAAACGAUGUCUACUAGUUGUUACGGGUUUUAAUUAACGUUGGUAACGCAGUCUAACGCGUAGAAGUAGACCCGCGUGGGGAAGUACGGUCGACAAGAUUAAAACNCAAANAGAGUAGAGCGUGAGACGNGCGACGACGACGACGAGGGAGAGG